GAUGGACAUAUGAUGAAUUUGAAUUGUGUAAAUGGGUAAUUUGCAUCUGAGUUUUAUUGAUGUUAUAUAUCACCUUGGAGAACUGAUGUCCACA
rfam:Cicer arietinum chromosome Ca5, whole genome shotgun sequence.